rnacentral:rRNA from 1 species
UGAUGAUGACAAAAAUUUGCCAUACAUAGGUUGAAAUAUUAUGAGAGUAGUACUAGGAUGGGUGACCUCCUGGGAAGUCCUCGUGUUGCAUCCC